rnacentral:rRNA from 1 species
GACGAACGCUGGCGGCGUGCCUAAUACAUGCAAGUCGAACGCAGGGGGGACGGGUUAGUAACACGUGGGUAACCUCCCAUCAGAGGGGAUAAACCUUGGAAACUGGUGCUAAAUCCGACACUGAUGGAUGGACCCGCGGUGCAUUAGGUAGUGGGUGAGGUAACGGCUCACCAAGGCGACGAUGCAUAGCUGGCCUGAGAGGUUGAUCAGCCACACUGGGACUGAGACACGGCCCAGACUCCUACGGGAGGCAGCAGUAGGGAAUAUUCGGCAAUGGACGAAAGUCUGACCGAGCAACGCCGCGUGAGUGAAGAAGGUUUUCGGAUCGUAAAACUCUGUUGUUAGAGAAGCGGUAUCUAACCAGGAAGCCACGGCUAACUACGUGCCAGCAGCCGCGGUAAUAC